GACGAACGCUGGCGGCGUGCUUAACACAUGCAAGUCGAACGGAAAGGCCCUGCUUGCAGGGUACUCGAGUGGCGAACGGGUGAGUAACACGUGGGUGAUCUGCCCUGCACUUCGGGAUAAGCUUGGGAAACUGGGUCUAAUACCGGAUAGGAACCAUCUUUAGUGUGGUGGUUGGAAAGUUUUUUCGGUGUAGGAUGAGCUCGCGGCCUAUCAGCUUGUUGGUGGGGUAAUGGCCUACCAAGACGGCGACGGGUAGCCGGCCUGAGAGGGUGUACGGCCACAUUGGGACUGAGAUACGGCCCAGACUCCUACGGGAGGCAGCAGUGGGGAAUAUUGCACAAUGGGCGCAAGCCUGAUGCAGCGACGCCGCGUGGGGGAUGAAGGCCUUCGGGUUGUAAACUCCUUUCGCUAGGGACGAAGCUUUGUUGUGACGGUACCUAGAUAAGAAGCACCGGCUAACUACGUG
rnacentral:rRNA from 1 species